UACGGAGGGUGCUAGCGUUGUUCGGAAUUACUGGGCGUAAAGGGCGCGUAGGCGGCCGUUUGCGUCGGAUGUGAAAGCCCGGGGCUCAACCUCGGAACGGCAUUCGAUACGGGACGGCUGGAGACUGGGAGAGGAGAGUGGAAUAGCCAGUGUAGAGGUGAAAUUCGUAGAUAUUGGCUGGAACACCGGUGGCGAAAGCGGCUCUCUGGCCCGGUUCUGACGCUGAGGCGCGAAAGCGUGGGGAGCAAACAGG
rnacentral:rRNA from 1 species